CCCUAUCAAACUUUACUUUAGUUUAACUGGGGCAGUUAAUUAAUAAAAAUUUUAAUAAAGAUUAAGUACUAAAUAGANNNCCCAACANUAGUUGAUUACANUGAACAAGUUACUGUAGGGAUAACAGCGUAAUAUAUAUCUAAAGUUCUUAUUUUGAUAUAAGUUUGCGACCUCGAUGUUGAAUUNAUAUUACUUUCAAGCGCAAGAGCCUGAAAAGUGGGUCUGUUCGACCCCUAAAUAUAUACAUGAUUUGAGUUCAAAUCGGUGUAAACCAGAUUGGUUUCUAUCUAUUNUUAUUUGUGUCUUAGUACGAAAGGACCUGAAACAAUAUUAUACAAUNAUUUAUAUGGCAGAAAAAUGCUUUAGAUUUAGAAUCUAACUAUAAUAGAUUAUUAUACUCUAUUUAACUUGCUUAAUCUCUGUUAUUAGAAUCCUUAUCGCAGUAGCUUUUUAUACCCUCCUAGAGCGAAAAAUUCUAAGCUACAUCCAAAUUU
rnacentral:rRNA from 1 species